GUUACGUAUUUUAAGAACACAAGCUGUAUUUCCCUCACUUAACCAAUAGGGGGUAGGACCAAACAUAUUAGCCGUAAAUACUACACAUAGCCACAAGGGGAGCAGGACAUUACUGAAGGCUGCAAUAGAUACUUUAGCCACAGAGGGCAGCACCACAGACCAGGCGAGGAAAGCCGAGGAUUACGUCACACCGGUUCCUCACAAUUCUUCCGGUCCGCGCUGCUGAGUCCAUAAAAAGCCUCCAGAUCGUGGAGGCCGGUAGAACUCUCUCGGCAGCGAUUAGACAUAGAUGGGUUUAUGUUUUUGAUCAGCUAGGAGAAUACUCGCACGUGCUUAGAAUACAUCUUCAAUCUCUCUUUACUUCAGAGUAUCAGUUUACCAUACCGAAAAUACUUUAUUUAAGUCUCUUUAAAGCUAUUCCUUUGGAUUUGAAGAACUACGUAAUAAAUUGGUGACCCUUGACGUUCUUGGGAAGUUCCGGACCGAGACUAGCGACCGCGAGGCCGUCGGGAAGCAGUACAAGCUACUUACAGGCGCCACAAGAAAGGUAAACAGAACCUGUUGUCCAUGACUGAACUCUGUAUAGUUAGAAUAGUCACAUUUAGGUGAAUAGCUUGUACUGCCUCCGUCUGGUUGAGGGGACGUGUGGUCUCGGCCAUCGGAUUGAAAUUCAUAACAGCCGUUUAGAUACACGGCCUCGGAUACGCUAACAGAUUAAAUCAAAUAACUGCCUCACGAAGCAAAGGGCUAGGAGUUUGUUUUACAUGGGUUCGUAGAUAGACAGUAUCCGAUCCCGUCUAGAUCUAAUGUUUGUACCACGUGGGAGACGUAUUACCUGUGGUUUUUGUGUUAUAUGGUGAAAGCGCCGAAGUUAAGCCGGGCCACCAUAAGGUUUAUUUAUACCGACCAUAAACUUCCAAACUCUAUAUCGGUGGGGGGAGGAAAGGUCAGGGUUUUUAACGUUAAUCUAGCUUAAUUGCAUAUUAAACCGAAGGCUAGGCCU
rnacentral:lncRNA from 1 species